CCUUUGGAGUGUUACAACAAACGAAAGUAGCUAAUGCGAAAUCGGACACUGAGAAGAAGGAA
rnacentral:ncRNA from 12 species